CGCGCUCUGGAGUAGAUUAAAAGUACGGACACAUAUGCGAGUGAAUGUACAAAAACACUCGGGGCUCCAGGAGCGCGAAAGAGACAUUUUGAGUUUUAAUGACCAUGUUUAUGUUCUUUUAGAAUAACUGUCAGAUAUGGAAAAUGAUUAACCAAAGUUUUGCCAGCUUCUGUUAAAGUUGGAUAAGUUGACGCUGGACAUGUCUGCAGAUGGUCAAAUCAUGGACUGAUCAUCUCGAACGCUGGAAAACUGGAAAAAGAAAAUAAUAAGAAUGGGUGUUCUGCAGCAUCCUGAUGGAACGAUCCUGAAACAGCUACAAGCUCCUCCGAGAGGCCCACGAGAGAUGAACUUCUACACACGGGUAUUUGCUAAAACUGCACAGAUAAAAAGCUACUGGACCUGCAACAACAUCUUCCCAAGUAC